AGGGUAACUCACAGCAUUGAUGGAAAAGCUGAAGAACCGAGCUUGUGAGAGGCCAGAAACCCGAGCAGCCAUAGGACAGGCUCUUCAAAACCCCUGUUCUUCAGGCAUUUCAGGCUUUCAGCCCCCCUAGUCAAAUCCAAACACGGGGAAGGGGCUUCUAAUCGAUUUGGCUUGGGAGAGGCAGGGCCCUUUGAUCGGCAGUUCCACCAAACAAAACCAAGAAGCUGUCCCAGAAGAGAGACUGGAGGCAGAACAGGUGACCAGCAUCAUCUUAUUUUACAUCCUGUUAGCGCUUGCCUUCAAGGAGCCUCACCCAGUGGGAGAGGCAGACCUGCAGGUGUAAAAUUGCACUAGUGGAUGAAAAGUGAAACUAACACACAGCAUGGGGGCAGUCAGACGUGUGCUUAGUGGCGCUUCAAUAAGAUUUUUAAGAGGGAAAGUCUCUGAGCACCUGCUCUGGACGGGACGCAGGUGAGACUCUCUGGGCUCUGUCCAGGUGAGGGGGCAGGGCUGGGCUCGGCAGGGAAGGGGCUCCUGUGGGGUGAGAGCCUUGCUUCGCGCUCACUCACUCAUCCCCAGGCUUGUUUACACUCAGCCUGGUAGGGGAACUGAGGUCAGCGCUGUGGUUCUCACUUCAAAGUCUGAGAUAAUCUGUAAAUCGUUUUCUCCUGGUUUCCUUUCGCAGCAGAAGCAGCUUAUUAAAAAAAGUUUAUUUUUGCAAGAGAGGUGGCUCAAAGCUUGAUAAUUGAUUUUGUUUUGUUUAAAAGUUUUUAAAAGUUUUGUUUUAAAACUGUUAGAACUGUAGACGGGACCACAUGCCACCCCAGGGCUGCAGACCGUGGAAGAGGCUGCAAGUUGUAUCAGCGGGGUCUGGUGGCAAUAAGCGUUGUGAAAUCAAGGAGAAAAGUGGGGCAGAGGAGAGGAGGAAAGAAAGAAAGAAAGUGAAAGGGCAAGAAAAGGAAGGAGGGAGGGCAGAUGACUCUCAACCAACACUCACAGGGCGUUUCUAUCCGGCUGAUGCACCUCCCCAGCCUGGGCUAGGCUGGGCUGUCCUCAGGUCCCCAGGACUCCCACUGCCAUUCGGAAGGCUGGCUCUUGUUGGAGUCCUCCGCAUCUCUGCUCAAGCUCACAGGAAACUGGGCCCUGGAGGGAGAGCAGCACACAGAGACGGCUAGGAGAUCCUGCAGUUCCGCACAGCACCCCAGGACUUGGAGCUGGCGCCCACGGAGGGAGUCCCGGGAAGCUGCUGCCCAAUGUAGUUGGUGGCUGCUCUGCUCCCAGUUGUGGGACAUACUUCAGAACUCACCUCCGAAUUUCCACCCCUCAUACUAGGGCCCAGGGAAAACACACACAGGAAGAUGGGUGGAUUGAGGACCAGCUGGAUGGACAGACAUGUUUUAAUUAACAAAGCCCGUUGGUGUUCAUUAUUUUGUUCAGUUUCAUUGGGACUUCUGUUUCCCCACUUCACUAACAUACAAACUGAGGCUCAGAGAGGUUUAUUCAAGGUCAAUCCCAUUAUCAGACGGGGAGCAUUAUACUAUAGUUAUACAUAGUCACAUACACAUACGCACUAAGGGCCAAAGCCCAGUCUAUAUCUUACAUGAUCCUCUCCCCAGCCCAAUGAGAUGGACGCUGUUGCCCUUACUUCACCAAAGAAUUAGUGACGUGCCCCUAAGAGGAAAACUGAGAUGCCAACAAAGAUUGGACCCAAGCUCAGAAUCUAUAUGAAAGAAUAAGUGCUUAAAAAAAAAAAGGCUUUCGGGGCUGGCCCUGUGGCCGAGUGGUUAAGUUCGCGCGCUCCGCUGCAGGCGGCCCAGUGUUUCGUUAGUUCGAAUCCUGGGCGCGGACAUGGCACUGCUCAUCAGACCACGCUGAGGCAGCG
ensembl:lncRNA